GUAUUCUAGAUUUGAUGUGGUGUAGGAAUGUUAAUAGUAAUAGUGAAAUGUAUAUAGAAUUGGUAUAAAAUAAAUUGGAUAUUGGUAGCUUGAAAAGGUAGAUAUUCGAUUCACGAAAGCUUGAGGUGUGACAGGGAUUUGAGACCCCUUUAAUUCGAGACUGAAAUUAUGCAGGCAAUGUUUGUGGAUCUCUUUUUAACAAAUAAAGGUUCUUUUCCUAAGGAGUACGCUUUCACUUGUGAAACUUAAAUGUUCUGGUGGUGGUUUAGAACAAUAGUGGAAUAGAUGAUUUAAUUCGAUGAAAUGCGAUAAAGCUUAUCUGUUAUCUGAAAUAAUACCUAGGUAUAGGUAGAAUUCUAUUCGAGGUAGUGCAUGGCUGUUGGAGGGUAAUGUUUUGUAAUAUCUGGUUUCGGACAGGAAUAGCCGAUACACUUUUAGUUG
rnacentral:rRNA from 1 species